GGGUGGAGCCUGCGGUUUAAUUGGAUUCAACGCCGGAAAUCUCACCGGGGGCGACAGCAAUAUGAAGGUCAGGCUGAAGACCUUACCCGAUUAGCUGAGAGGUGGUGCAUGGCCGUCGUCAGUUCGUACUGUGAAGCAUCCUGUUAAGUCAGGCAACGAGCGAGACCCACGUCCACAGUUGCCAGCAUACCCUCCGGGGUGAUGGGUACACUGUGGAGACCGCCGCUGCUAAAGCGGAGGAAGGAGUGGGCAACGGUAGGUCAGUAUGCCCCGAAUCUCCCGGGCUACACGCGGGCUACAAUGGUUGGUACAAUGGGCAUCUACCCCGAAAGGGGAAGGAAAUCUCUUAAAGCCAAUCGUAGUUCGGAUUGAGG
rnacentral:rRNA from 1 species